UUCGCUAUAGUCUUCGGUUAGGAUACGAGAUUCUCACUCUCGAGACCCGGGUUCGAGUCCCGGUCGGGGGCGAAA
rnacentral:tRNA from 1 species